rnacentral:rRNA from 1 species
UACGGAGGGAGCUAGCGUUGUUCGGAAUUACUGGGCGUAAAGCGCACGUAGGCGGCGAUUUAAGUCAGAGGUGAAAGCCCGGGGCUCAACCCCCGGAAUAGCCUUUUGAAAACUAGAUUGCUUGAAUCCAGGAGAGGUGAGUGGAAUUCCGAGUGUAGAGGUGAAAAUUCGUAGAUAUUCGGAAGAACACCAGUGGCGAAGGCGGCUCACUGGACUGGUAUUGACGCUGAGGUGCGAAAGCGUGGGGAGCAAACAGG